rnacentral:rRNA from 1 species
UACGUAGGGUCCGAGCGUUGUCCGGAAUUAUUGGGCGUAAAGGGCUCGUAGGCGGUCCGUCGCGUCGGGAGUGAAAACUCGGAGCUUAACUCCGAGCCUGCUUCCGAUACGGGCAGACUAGAGGUAGGCAGGGGAGAGCGGAAUUCCCGGUGUAGAGGUGAAAUUCGUAGAUAUCGGGAGGAACACCGGUGGCGAAGGCGGCGACCUGGGUAGAUACUGACGCUGAGGUGCGAAAGCGUGGGGAGCAAACAGG